UACGUAGGCAGCAAGCGUUGUUCGGAGUUACUGGGCGUAAAGGGUGCGUAGGCGGCUGUUUAAGUUUGGUGUGAAAUCUCCCGGCUCAACCGGGAGGGUGCGCCGAAUACUGAACGGCUAGAGUGCGGGAGAGGAGAGUGGAAUUCCUGGUGUAGUGGUGAAAUGCGUAGAGAUCGGGAGGAACACCCGUAGCGAAGGCGGCCACCUGGGCCGACCCUGACGCUGAGGCGCGAAGGCCAGGGGAGCGAACGGG
rnacentral:rRNA from 1 species